rnacentral:rRNA from 1 species
UACGUAGGUGGCAAGCGUUACUCGGAAUCACUAGGCGUAAAGCGCAGGUAGGCGGUUCGGUAAGUCUCUUGUGAAAGCUCCCGGCUUAACUGGGAGAGGCCAAGGGAAACUGUCGGGCUAGAGUGUGGCAGAGGAAGCUGGAAUUCCCGGUGUAGCGGUGAAAUGCGUAGAUAUCAGGAGGAACACCUGUGGUGUAGACGGCUUUCUGGACCAUAGCUGACGCUGAGACACGAAAGCGUGGGUAGCAAACAGG